ACGGCCGCGGUACCCUAACCGUGCAAAGGUAGCAUAAUCACUUGUUCUUUAAAUAAGGACUUGUAUCAACGGCAUCACGAGGGUUCUACUGUCUCCUCUCUCUAAUCGGUGAAACUGAUCUCCCUAUGAAAAAGUGGGGAUAAACUUAUAAGACGAGAAGACCCCAUGGAGCUUUAAAACCUAUAGCAACCUAGCAAACACUUCCAUUUAGCUAUAAAACUAUGCUCAAGGACUUUAGGUUGGGAGGACCACGGAGCACAAAAUAACCUCCGCAAUGAAAAGAAUAAAAUCUUUACCAAAGAGCCACAACUCCAAGAAUUAGAAAACUAACGUACAAUGACCCGAUAUCGAUCAAUGAACUAAGUUACCCUGGGGAUAACAGCGCAAUCCAUUCUGAGAGUUCAUAUCGACGAACGGGCUUACGACCUCGAUGUUGGAUCAGGGUAUCCUGGUGGUGCAGCCGCUACCGAAGGUUCGUUUGUUCAACGAUU
rnacentral:rRNA from 1 species